UAACGAAUAUUGGGCAAUGGGCGAAAGCCUGACCCAGCGACGCCGCGUGUGGGAAGAAUGCCUUCGGGUUGUAAACCACUGUCAGGGAUUACCAACCAACCGGUGUGAAUAGCUCCGGGAGUUGAGGAGUCCCAGAGGAAGUCACGGCUAACUUCGUGCCAGCAGCCGCGGUAAUACGAAGGUGGCUAGCGUUGUUCGGAAUCACUGGGCUUAAAGAGCACGUAGGCGGAUGAUCAAGCGUCUUGUGAAAGCCCUCGGCUCAACCGGGGAAUUGCUUGGCGAACUGAUUAUCUUGAGGCAGGUAGGGGCGAGUGGAACUCUUGGUGGAGCGGUGGAAUGCUUAGAUAUCAAGAGGAACGCCAGAGGCGAAGGCGACUCGCUGGGCCUGACCUGACGCUGAGGUGCGAAAGCCAGGGGAGCGAACG
rnacentral:rRNA from 1 species